AUGCGAGGUGCUGCUUACAGUGUAUCCGUGCGGUAUCUCCUUGGGGCCGACGUUAUGCUUGGGGUCCAUGGUUCUGCAGCUACCGACUGGUGCCCCGUUCCAACGACAGCACACCGGCAAUAUGAGAAGAGUGACAGCUCCCAAGAUGUCUUCCAAUGCCAUCUUCUUUCUCUUCUAUCACCACUAAGGGAGAUUGGCCAGGACAAACUAUUUCUCCUUCUUCUUCCACCACUAGGAACAGUGGCCACCAGCUAUUUCUAUUUUGGGACACCACCUUCUUCUUCGUCCCACGGAGAAUGGCCAUUAGCCCCAAAGGAGAUCGGCCAGGGCUAUGAGGACGUCCAACGAGAACGAUGGUGCCAUCUUCAUUUUCGUCAUUCUUCGCAAGUUGGCGUUUGCUCCACCUCCGCCUACGCUGCGUGAGAGACCGUCCAGUUGUUGUGUUGACAGCCACUUGGCAGAUUCGCACAUGUACCCGGGUUCGAAUCCCGGCUGUGGGGUUUUUCCUUUGACGCGUACGUUGUCACAAUUCCCUUAGAAGUCGGCCCAGGACGUACAUUGGCCAACUCUGUGAGGUCGACGGCGUCGAGCCGUUUCACCAGCACCACAACAGGCGGCCACGUACGCUUCGCUGGGCGGGAGAUUUGAACGACGAAAAUAUGUUCCGCGUUUGUGUUGAAAAUAAAUCUUUGUGUGCUCAAGCAAAGUAUGACGAAAGCGCACUCAUA